GAUGAACGCUGGCGGCGUGCCUAAUACAUGCCAGUCGAGCGAACAGACGAGGAGCUUGCUCCUCUGACGUUAGCGGCGGACGGGUGAGUAACACGUGGAUAACCUACCUAUAAGACUGGGAUCACUUCGGGAAACCGGAGCUAAUACCGGAUAAUAUCUUGAACCGCAUGGUUCAAUAGUGAAAGACGGUUUUGCUGUCACUUAUAGAUGGAUCCGCGCCGCAUUAGCUAGUUGGUAAGGUAACGGCUUACCAAGGCAACGAUGCGUAGCCGAACUGAGAGGGUGAUCGGCCACACUGGAACUGAGACACGGUCCAGACUCCUACGGGAGGCAGCAGUAGGGAAUCUUCCGCAAUGGGCGAAAGCCCGACGGAGCAACGCCGCGUGAGUGAUGAAGGUCUUCGGAUCGUAAAACUCUGUUAUUAGGGAAGAACAAAUGUGUAAGUAACUAUGCACGUCUUGACGGUACCUAAUCAGAAAGCCACGGCUAACUACGUG
rnacentral:rRNA from 1 species